UGAAUUUAGCAACUAGGACAAAAAUUGACUAUUAGACUAAUAUAAUUGUUGUGAGAGGUAUUAAACCACCUCACUCUUUUAUAAUCUGGUCAUAGCUGCUGUAAAUUGUAAUAUCUGAUUUAGGUGAAUUAAUUUCUCUAUAAAACUCCUUUUAUGAAAACAAAUAAUUUAAAUGAUUUCGCUUAUUAUAGAAACAAAUUCUAUGGAUUUAUGUACCGCAACUCAUCCGCUAGUAUAAAUUAUUUGUUUUUAUUCUAUACAAAAAUAUUCGUGUAUAACAGCAUAUUAUGUUAUUUCAAGUAAUUUGUAUUUGAAAAAAUAAUAUAUAACCCGAUUAUACAAGUGUAUUAUCAGUAAAAAUUCUGAUAUCAUGGUAAUGUUACAUGGUGAAAAUGCGAAUUUGAACGACUCGUUCAGGAAAACCAUAGUAAGGAGUAAUUGAUAAGAACCGUGACCGAUCGUAAGAAAUGAACGAAAGAACGAGUUAUAUGAACGGGUCAUUUGAACGAUCCGAUCCAAACGAUCCGGAUCGUUCGAUUGACCCGAAAUUCCCAUCACUAUCUCGCAGUGAGGUGAAAAACCGUAGUUCGGACGGGACGAUAUUUGAGACGGGACGUCGACGGACAUGCGGCACUUGCUGGACUUUGUACCGUGGCGUAUCGCACGCGGUAUUAGUCAGUCAAACUACACGUAGUUAGGCAAUGGCUGAUAAAGGUGGCACGGGUCGCGGGACUCCGUGUAUCGCAAAGCAACGCGGGACCGUGUCAAAUUUAAAAAUUGAUACCGUCUCAGCUUCUUAUCCAAGCUAGAAAAUAUGCAAAAUUAAACCAUGUACAUUUAUCUGAUGAUGCUUAAAAUACACGUCCGAAUCUUUUAAAAAAUUAUUUAUUUCAAGGCAAAGCUCGGGGAACUGAUUUCUAUUUUCCAAAAAUUUCUUCAAUUAUCAUUAAAAUAUUUCCAAAAGAAGAGGAAGGAUAUAGGUUUAAAACUAUUAUAUUAAUUUAUAUUUUUUUCAAAAAUUAUCAUAUUAUUUAUUUAAUUAAUAAUAAUAAUAAUAAAUGCAAAUAAAUAAAUUUUUCAAAUACCCAUCAAUAAAUUUAAUAAUUAAAUCACUUUUUCAAAUUAUAAAACUUUUAUUUUUUAAUAGUUAUGGUGUCUCACUGUGUGCAGACUUUUGGGACACUGAGACAUGCCAUAAGAUAUAGCUUAAAAUAAAUAUUAAAGAAAACAGAUUAUGGUACCUAUUUGAUAUUUGAAAUAUCUACCCUUUUAAUAACCAAUGUAUUUUAAAUAAAAACAGAUUAUAAUAUUUAUAAAUUAAACAAAUUAGUUCAAAAUUAAAAAAAAUUGCGUAUGUAAAAGUUUU